UUAAAUUCUCAGGGCGGGGUGUAAGUCCCCACCGGCGGUAUCUGUCUUAUGCCAGCGGCAUAACGGCAGCAGCCCGCGAGCGCCUGCCACACCUUGGCAGGGUCAGCAGAUCCGGUGAGAAGCCGGGGCCGACGGUUAUAGUCCGGAUAGAAGAGAGUGACG
rfam:Plesiomonas shigelloides 302-73 genomic scaffold scaffold00002, whole genome shotgun sequence.